UUGGCACCUGAUACUAUUUUUUCAAGCUCGUGGCAACGCUGUUCAGUCGACGGGUAUGUUUUGCUAAAUUAUUCUGAAGCCGUUUUUGUGUUUUUAAUGGGAUGCAUCAACAGUACAAAGAAAUUAAACGAUUUAAAAGGAGAAAACGUAUUCCGUGCCGUACGACUUCACUCCGAUUUGACAGAGCAAGGGCGCACAGGGUUUCUGGAGCUAACUCCAAGAGAAUUGAUUUUCCGUACAGUAUCUAACCAGCGCCUUGUAUGGGCUUUGCAACAUCUACGCCGAUAUGGACUCAAUGGCGAUGUAUUUUCGUUUGAGGCGGGCCGACGUUGUAUGACCGGCCCUGGAAUUUAUACAUUUCGGUGUCAACGUGCAGACCAAUUAUACCAUCUGUUCCAAAGUAACAUAAAUGCUGUGUCCCUUGUGGCGGACGAAGCUUUUCCUUUUGGUGAACGUGAGCGCGAAUACCCAUCACAUAUAUUAGGACGUCCAGAAAAUAUACAUCCAACAAAUAAUUAUCUAGAACCAGCACCGGUAGUAAGCAGCGGAGCAGGACUGUCCGUUUUACAUGGCUCUAGAGCAAUUCGUGACUCUUUUAGUAGUAGUCCUUUAAGUCUUGACUCUCCAGAUUCCGCACCAAGUUUGUCAUUCGCUACAACUGAAGUUGUGCACUUUCAAAGUUCACGUUAUCCUGCUGGGCGCGGUAUGUAUGUCAACACACCAAAUUCAUCCAACGUACUCGCUAACAGCAAUGUGUAUUCGGAACAUCCAUUGCGAACGCAAGUGGAACAUAAUAAUAAUUUGUCAAAUGCUCCCAGCUGUGUACUUAAUACACUAAACCGCAAAAAUUUUGUUAAACACUCGUCUCUGGACAUACCACCAGAAGAAUUUGCGCCUAUGUUAACGCCACCAUCGGAAACACUGCAUAUGUAUGCCAACAUUGACAGUAGUGCACUUGCUGCUAACAGUUUUUGUUUUAGCGGCAUUGGAGAUAUCCGCAAUAUUGGACGCAAUCACGAUCGAUGCUACGAAAAUCUAAAUCGUGAUGAUUUAAAUUUUAUUAUCUCACAACAGAGUUUGUCGUCUAGCAUAACAGUUCGAGAUGUUAACGCGACGGAUGUAUCCAAGGAUCAGCAGUUUAUUCCGAUGUUGCCAACAGAAUCAAGGGCAGUCAAUUAUAUUGUUCUUGAUUUGGACCACCCUCGCAGUCCGACGCAAAGUUCUCCUAAACUACAUAAAGGAAGUGGUCCGUCUUUGACAACAGUUGAGGACAUUGAAGGCACGAAGGGAGCAUGCUCUAAAAUAACAUUCUUCCCAGAUACAUUACAUGCCAAUGUUACUUCUGCGACAAAUGCUACCACCUCAACAACAUCGAGUACAAACACAACGAAGACCGCAAAAAGUAAUGAAGGUGCUGAACAAAUGGAAAAAAAAGAAGAAUCGUCACUAGGCUACUCAACGAUAGAUUUUAUAAAGACAUGUGCACUUAUUAAAUCGUCUACACAUGGUGCAGAUUUCGAUCCAGAACCUGGCAGCGAAGAAUGCCGAAUAACUCGACAUAGUAAAUGCGUGCGAAAAGCUUACUCUAUUAGUGAGUAGGAAGUCGUACGCCUUACCAUACUCUUCACGUGUGUUGAACGCUUUUCCUGAAUUUAGAAUAAGGCGCCAUAUUGGAUCGGCCAUUUUGGUGUUAGUUAUUUUGCUUUCGCAAUAAAAUUUAGCGACCUCUAUAACUCUUAAAUAAUAUAAAUAUAAGCUAUUCUUAUUAUUUUUUUAACAAAAUUAUUGUGUUUAAGAGUUCAGGCGCCAAAUUGGAUCGACCAUUUUUGUUUUUGUUAUUUUGGCUUUAGAUUCGAAUUCAGCGAUCUCAAAAACCCCUGUAGACCUUAAUUCAUGUCAAUAUGUUAAUUUUUUAAAUGGGUAUCAAAUAUCCAUAUAAUAUAGUAUGUAAUACUUCUAUAUUGGCAGUAUCUACAAGUGCAGCCAGCAAACAUUACAGUACAGAUGUAUAAAAAAAAGAAAAGGAAAACCGAGUAAUAGUAUGUAAAAACUGACACUUGAAUUCAAAACAAAUCGCAGUGGCGGCACGUUAAAAGAAAAUUACAGGGAAUUUUUAGUUUACAUUUAACUUAAUGAAUUUUAUAAUACAUUAAAUUAUGGAAAUGUCACACUGACGCUUUUUAUGUGAAAAAUAAGAGAUUAAUUAAAUAAAAUAGCUUUACAUGCGUAUUUUGGUACGCAGAUAAUUUGCAGAAAUUUCAACUAAAAAGCUGGCAAUUCUAAUAAAACUGUUAAUUUUUUUUAAUUUUUUUCACAAAGUUUGGAAUUUGGAUUACAUACAGUAUCGGUCAUAUCUAU
rnacentral:misc_RNA from 1 species